rnacentral:rRNA from 1 species
UACGAAGGGGGCAAGCGUUGUUCGGAAUUACUGGGCGUAAAGAGCGUGUAGGCGGCCUGGUAGGUCAGCUGUGAAAACUCGAGGCUCAACCUCGAGACGCCGGUUGAAACCAUCAGGCUAGAGUCCGGAAGAGGAGAGUGGAAUUCCCGGUGUAGCGGUGAAAUGCGCAGAUAUCGGGAGGAACACCUAUGGCGAAGGCAGCUCGCUGGGACGUUACUGACGCUGAGACGCGAAAGCGUGGGGAGCAAACAGG